GAACCUGCGGAAGGAUCAUUAAUGAACUUU
rnacentral:rRNA from 1 species